UACGAAGGGGGCGAGCGUUGUUCGGAUUUACUGGGCGUAAAGGGCGCGUAGGCGGCGCGAGAAGUCGAGUGUGAAAGCCCCGGGCUCAACCUGGGAAUUGCGCUCGAUACUCUUGUGCUUGAGUUCGGGAGAGGAGCGUGGAAUUCCCAGUGUAGAGGUGAAAUUCGUAGAUAUUGGGAAGAACACCGGUGGCGAAGGCGGCGCUCUGGGACCGAGACUGACGCUGAGGCGCGAAAAGCGUGGGGGAGCAAACAGG
rnacentral:rRNA from 1 species